GCCUAGUUAGCUUAGUUGGUAGUGCGUCUGCCUUGUAAGUGCUAGGCCGCGGGUUCGAUUCCCGCCCGGUGCG
rfam:Asian citrus Psyllid, Diaphorina citri - Florida Strain, whole genome shotgun sequence.